rnacentral:lncRNA from 1 species
UUUUUUUUUUUUUUUUGUUGCUUUGCAACAAUUUCUAUUCUCUCUUUGUUUUGUUACAAACUUUUCUAUUAAGAGUUGUAGAAUCACUUUAGUUAACAUGAAUCUACUUUCCGUAUGAACUGGGUAUUUUUGAUGUUAACAGAGCUUAUCCUCUGUUAAACAGAGGGCCAGGCCAUAUUUCUUUGGGGUUAGAGAGUUGUAAUCCUUAUUUACCACCAAAUUGAAAAAAUAGUGUUGGUAGCAUUUAAGCUAGGACAACGAUGUUGCGUACUUGCAUUCUUUAAGUUUAAAUCAAAUAAUAUCUUACUAAUGUAUUAUAUUUUAAGAAGAACUCAUGCAUUAAUUGUUAAUGAUGAAUCUUUGGGUCAUGCGAUAUUGAUAGUUUAUUGAGAAUAUUGUAAGUUUUAAUCAUUGAUUGAAUGAAGGUAUAAGUAAUUUUGUAAAUCUUUGUACAAAUUUUGUCAUGUGGGCAAUUGCCUAAUUGCCUUUACUACAAGAUGGGGCCAUUGCCAAAGAUCACCUAGACUAUUUGACAAACUGACCUUCAUAGUUCAAAUAUCUAGAAAUUAGCAGCAUGAUGGAGCUAGUUUGCACCAUUUUAUUUAAUACAUACCCGUAUAUGCAUGCAUGUACAUAUAAGUAUAUUCUUAUUAGAAAUAUAAUCUAACUUGGGGAUUUUGUAGAUUUUGUACGAAUUAACUAAUCAUCAAAUGAAUAGAUAAUUAAACUAGUUAGAAGUUCUAGAUGUGUCUGGGUAGUGGAGGUUCUUUUGUGAGAUUGUCAUUUGAUUAGAUCGAAGCCCUCUAAGCGCAUAGGGCUUAUGCUGCUUGUUAUGCCACAAAUCGGAAAUAUGGCAUGGCCAUGCUAUUGUAGGGUAUCGUCCACAAUAACACGAAACCCACAAUAAAAGAUCCAUAAAAAAAAUUAUUCCAUAAAGGAUAUAAGAAGUAUGUUCCAAAAAUUUCUCCAUUUAUUAAAUAAAGUGCUGAUACAGAGCAUUUAAGCUCAGAGUUUAAAUAUUCAAAAACUACAAAAACCUAUAAUUCACUAAGAUGAUUAAUCAGAUCUAUUAUGAGCCAACUAAUUAGAUUUAUGCAACUAUGCUUCCAAGCGUACUAUCUCGACCUCCAAACCAAAAUAGUGGCUCUCUGCUGCAGCCUUAUUUGUCUGAAAAGAAUAAAGGGAAAAGUGGCUCAGUAAGUAACCUUGCACUACUUUAUUGGAUCAAGCAUAAGUUUUAUAUAAUUUUAAUGCACUAUUUAGAAAAUAACUUUUACUGCAAAUUAAAGCAUUUCAUAUGCAAAAUAAUAUAACAAACCA